rnacentral:lncRNA from 1 species
CCUUAAGAGAGCAUGAUCUAUUUCACAGGCAGAUUUAGAACAAACACGUUCAUCACUCUCUAAAAGAUCAAUAUCAAGUUUCAAAGAGAUUUCAAGUGCAAGAUUAUCCCAAGAAUAGCUCUCGGGUUCACUCCUAUUCCUUUGAUCAAUAUUUUCAACAUCAUCACACACUUGAGAUUCAUUAAUCACAUCACACACAUCCUCAAGUGGUGGACAAUUUUCACAUAAAAGUUGAUCAACAUAAAUUUCACAGGAUGAUGUACUUUCAUUCAACACA